CAAUAGCGUAUAUUAAAGUUGUUGCGGUAAAAAAGCUCGUAGUUGGAUUUCUGUUGAGAGCGACCGGUCCAUACCAUGUAUGCGUAUCUGGCUUGCUCUCGGCAUCCUCUCGAUAGACGUUACUGCGCUUGAUUGCGUGGUGCGGAUCUCGGGACUUUUACUUUGAGGAAAUUAGAGUGUUCACGGCAGGCUUUCGCCAGAAUACAUUAGCAUGGAAUAAUACUAUAGGAUCUUGGUUCUAUUUUGUUGGUUUCUAGAAUUGAGAUAAUGAUUAAUAGGGACAAUUGGGGGCAUUCGUAUCAACACGUCAGAGGUGGAAUUCUUGGAUUGUGUUGCGACGAACUACUGCGAAAGCAUUUGCCAAGGUUGUUUUCAUUGA
rnacentral:rRNA from 1 species